AGAAAGAGAAAGAGAGAGAGAGAGAGAGAGGAACGUAUGUAUCUAGCCGGUGAUGGAAAGAGAGAGAGAAAUAAAGUGACAGAUCUAGUAGUGUUCAUUUUGUGCGUGUUCAUAGGGAUGUUACUUUGAGUUCUUGUGUAUCAUAAAAAGGGCGGAAGAAGAGAUUGGAAGAAAGAGAGAAAGAGAGACAAAAAGAGAUACACGCGUUAUUGUAGAAGCAGUCGUCGUUCUCGUUGCUGCCGUCAGACGCAGUCGUCGUCGUCGUCCUUCUCGUCGUCAUCAUCAUCGUCGUCGUCGUCGUCGUCGUUGUCGGUACUGUUUCUUGGCUGACGCAUGACAGUAGUGGCAGACGGAUCGUGCGCGGAAGCCGUGCGAGUACGACGCACCACUGCCACCUUCUUUCUUUCCUUUUUACUCGUCUUACUUUCUCUUUCCGGCGUUUACGUUUCUCUCUCUCUCUCUCCUCUUUGCACGUUAACGCAAAGCUUACUUUUAACAACGUGAGAGAAGCGUGUGCUACCGGUGGUGCUACUGCUACUGCUACUGCUGCUGCUGCUGCUGCUGUUACUUCAGUUGCUGCUCGUGUGUUUGGUGGUGUUAGUUAGUAGUGUUGGUGGUGGUGCUGUUGUUGUUGGUGGUGGUGGUGGUGGUGGUGGUGGUGGUGACGACUGUGAGGGUAACGGUGACGGUGGUUGUUGGUGGUAGUGUGCCAUUUCACCACCGUUGAUUAUUCGAUGAGAGGUGCUGGCUUGUGGUGAAGAAGGUGGUGAGAUCCUAGUAUAAGUCAUAAUAGUGUACUACGCUAUUAUACUACUAGAUUGGACACGUUGUCCAAUCCUCCCCGAGUAUCUAUUUAGCCUCAGGUGAAAGAAGAAGAAGAAGAAGAGGAGGAAGCUUACCUAAGAGAACACAUACACACUGAGAGAGAGAGAGAAAGAGACAGAGAAGAAGAGAGGGAGAGAGAGGGGGUGUGAGUGUGCGACCAGAGGAGAGGGAACGAGAGGUUCGACGGAGGAUAAAGGAUGCCUGUCCGUAAGCAAGGUGAAAUUCCAACCGCAAGGGAACUCAUCUUUGAAUCUUUGAUAAUCGUCGUACGAGAAAAUGUACCUUCGUAAGGCGAGAAGGCAGAGCAAGAGAGAGAGAGGAGAGAGGAGAGAGGAAGAGGGAAAGAGAGAGAUAGAUAGAAGCCAUACACCAACGACGGUGAUAGUUUUCAAUUUCGCGGUGCAGGCGCUUCGUAGGCAAAGUUGAGAAGAAGAGAGUCAAGGAUGGUUUAUGGCUCGACGAUUCGCUUGCUUUACCACCACUACUUUAUUUAUGCAUAUACACACACUUAUACACACAUUUAUAGGAUUCGUACAUAAGUGUACACGUGUGUCUAACAUCGUUUAUAUAAUAUUUUCUAUAUAGAGAUAUAUGUACAUCAAAUAUUAUCACAUAAAUUAAGGUCCAACAUAUAUAAUAUAUAUAUGAAGAAAAAUUUUUGAACUUCAAUAAAAAAAAACAAAAAUAACAAGACAAAUUCGCGAGGAAGGAUUUUUCUCGUGUGCAAUUAAUUAUAGACUCUCUCUUGUUUUAUAUUUGUUAUUUCUUUGUAAAUAAAAUUAAAUUUGACCACCGACCACACGUAGAUAUGUUAUUAAAUAAUUUUAUUUAAGAUCGUUCGUUCUUACGAGUUUGUUUGACA
rnacentral:lncRNA from 1 species